AGCUUCUCCCUGGCAUUUCUUCACCUUUGGCUUUUCUGCUUCUAUAGCAUCUCUGGAAGACCUAAUCCCUCCUUUCAGAAAGCCUCCAGCUUCAGAAAACUCAUAAUUUUGACUCAUAAGAAGAAAACUUUCAAAGUGUAGGGCAAAGGUUUUCCCUGCCUGGAAGAUUCAGCUGGGGAAGGAUGGACCUGCUGGAGCUGCAGGGAUCUGACUGCAUUGCCUUCUGGCUGAAAAGAAAGCUGAACACAGAGUUCCCAUUUCCUAGAGCACUCCAGACACCGUAUUCAUUCAUGGGAAAAGGUGGGAACUGCAGAAUUGUGGUGUGCACUUUCAGAUCUCUCAGCUCUGUGGACAUGCUGCUCCAGGCAAACCAGCCAGGGCUGCUAGAUCCCCAAGCAGACCAGCGCCUGCAAGGAAAAAAGACACUACUGAACAUGUUAUCCUUUUUACUGGGUUCACAGAAAAAUCAAAAAUACUAAAAUAACCACAGAACCAGCCAACACAGAGCUCAUGGUCCACACGGAAGGCUUGGCCUCCUACUUUUGAGUUUGUGCUGGAGAAGGAAGGUGAUAAAUCUGGUUUUUUUGGGUCAUUCAAUAUGUAAAGUAAAUGGUGGCUGGGAAAUGUGAGAUAGAGGUAAAAAACCCAAACUCUUUCUAAAUACUGAAAUAUGUAGAUCUGUUUCAAUCCACCAAAAACAAAGGUUAGAUAGAUGUUCACAUGCAACUCUGGGGCUUAUUAAUUAGGAGAUGGAGGAAAGGAAAUAUAUAAAGCUUUGUUGUCUUAAUGUUUGAAGAUACUACAAUUUCUUUUGAGUCCUUAGAGACUACUUCUCAGCUCUUUAUUUUCUGGAAGUUCAGUAAAGUAUGUUAUUAAAUUCCAGAACUGAUAUGUAUUGCAGCACAGAAGCAGCUGGCAAUUUUGAUGGAAUAGUUGUGUUAACUGCAGUGUUCUGUGGAGACAUAAUAUAAGGAAAUAUAUUCAGGAACUCAGUUUGCUAUAUUGGAAAUGAGAAUUGGGAGCAUCACUGAAAGGAGUUGCCUCAUUCAUUUAUCAGUUUUAAUUUUAUUAACAGAUGCAAAUUACUAGUUAAACAAAUACAAAAUAAAAUGAAAAGAAGAAUGAAUUUUGUGUCAUCACUGGGCUCUUCAGUCUAAAUAUCUCACUAAAAGCAACCAAAAAGCCCUGGGUACCAGGUGCUUUUUAUCUUGGGUUUACACUACAGUGCAAUGAAAUGCUUUGGAAGGAAAUGCCUGAAGAAACCACUGUAAAACUUCAGCAUUUUCAUGUCAGUCACACAUUUCCUUGAAGGCCUGGUUUAGAUCUGUUUAAGCUCUAUUGUGUUUGGAGAGCAGAAAAAGGGUGGGGUGUUAUUAGGCAGAAUCCCUUUUAUAUGCAAAGAGUUGGAUCAAUUUGACUCUGAUUGUCUCUCUCUCCACUUUAUUGUCCCAUUACUUCAAACCCUUGACAUUAUCUUAGAGAAGAGGCUGAUUGAACUGGAGGUCUGGCACUUGUCAGUUGUGGAUAACACUGGCUUCAGUCACACAUAAAUGUGCCAUGACAGAAACAGACUGGUGAACAGAAAAAGCAAGUUUACUGCAGGCAAUAUUCUUGAGUUAGUGUAACAAAUAAUAAAGUUUGCUCUGCAAGAAAACAGUCUGAAAUACCUAACGGAGUGAUAUAUUAUCUCUUUUGCUAUCAGGAACUAUCCCUUUAGAAAUGAGCACGUUGUGCGGAGAAAAAACAAAAGAGCUGUAAUUGUAGAUACUGCUUCUGGUCUGUGAGAUAAUGAAUGAGUCUCCUGCUUGUGAACAGAAGACAUUGCUGUGUACAGAGAUACUGCUGCAGCAGUAUCGUGGUGACAUAAAUUCUUCCUUACAGAAAGGUGACAUGUAUCUUGAGUAAAAUAGCAGAAAUAGAAAUCCCAUCCCUUUGCAGUUCUCAGGUUCUUUCUAGUUGUCUAGAAAUUAGGAAUCUGAAAAAAAUUAUCUUCCAUUCAAGCUAGAGAGGGAAAAACACAAUUCAAAUGCAGACCACCCUAACUCAGAAAAAUGAAACCCAGUAUGGGUUUAUUUAUAUCCAUGUGAUGUCACUGCAACUCUGCUAUGUACGGUGUGGAAAGAAAUUAAAAACAGAAAGGACAGAAUGGUGAAAGGAAGGAAGGGAUUUUUCCUAAAGCAAAUACAACUCAAAGCAAUUUGCAUAAAUAUCUCUCCCAUGAUUUUUUAUUUAUGGCCCCGAAGUUUCUAAUUAAAUACUAAUUAAUAUUAUCACCAGAAUGGUCUCAUAUCCUCAGCUCUUCAUGGCUUUGUCACUUUGAUUAAUGCAUAGUCAUUUAUUAACUUACUUAACAAGCUGAGGUACUUCAUGACAAACCAGAUGAUAUUAUUCCCAUAACAGUCUCAU